AAAUAACAAUGAUUUCCCUAGUAACGGCGAGUGAAGAGGAAAGAGCUCAAAGUUGGAAACUGUUUGGCUUAGCUAAACCGUAUUGUAAACUGUAGAAACAUUUUCCUGGCACACCAGAUUAAUAAGUCCUUUGGAACAAGGCAUCAUGGAGGGUGAGAAUCCCGUCUUUGAUCUGAGUAGUUGUCUUUUGUGAUAUGUUUUCAAAGAGUCAGGUUGUUUGGGAAUGCAGCCUAAAUUGGGUGGUAAAUCUCACCUAAAGCUAAAUAUUUGCGAGAGACCGAUAGCGAACAAGUACCGUGAGGGAAAGAUGAAAAGAACUUUGAAAAGAGAGUUAAACAGUAUGUGAAAUUGUUAAAAGGGAACCGUUUGGAGCCAGACUGGUUUGCUUGUAAUCAACCUAGAAUUCGUUUUGGGUGCACUUGCAGGCUAUACCUGCCAACAACAGUUUGAUUUGGAGGAAAAAAUUAAUAGGAAUGUAGCCUCUCGAGGUGUUAUAGCCUAUUAUCAUACUCUGGAUUGGACUGAGGAACGCAGCGAAUGCCUUUAGGCAAGAUUGCUGGGUGCUUUCGCUAAUAAAUGUUAGAAUUUCUGCUUCGGGUGGUGCUAAUGUUUAAAGGAGGAACACA
rnacentral:rRNA from 2 species